rfam:TPA: Bos taurus chromosome 27, whole genome shotgun sequence.
UCCCUGGUGGUCCAGUGGGUACGACUCUGUGUUCCCAAUGCAGGGGGACCAGGUUCGAUCCCUGGUCAGGGAA